rnacentral:tRNA from 1 species
ACCUGAGUGGCUUAGUGGUUGAGCAUCUGCCUUCAGCUCAGGUGGUGAUCCCAGAGUCCUGGGAUCGAGUCCCACAUUAGGUU